CCUACGGGUGGCAGCAGUAGGGAAUAUUGCUCAAUGGGGGAAACCCUGAAGCAGCAACGCCGCGUGGAGGAUGAAGGUUUUCGGAUUGUAAACCCUUUUUUUUAGAGAAGUUAAUUACGGUACCUAACGCAUUAUCACCGUCCAAUUCCGUGCCAGCAGCCGCGGUAAUACGGAGGGUGCAAGCGUUACUCGGAAUCACUGGGCGUAAAGCGCGCGUAGGCGGGAUAGCAAGUCAGAUGUGAAAUCCUAUGGCUUAACCAUAGAACUGCAUUUGAAACUGUUAUUCUUGAGUAUGGGAGAGGUAGGUGGAAUUCUUGGUGUAGGGGUAAAAUCCGUAGAGAUCAAGAGGAAUACUCAUUGCGAAGGCGACCUGCUAGAACAUAACUGACGCUGAUGCGCGAAAGCGUGGGGAGCAAACAGGAUUAGAUACCCGAGUAGUC
rnacentral:rRNA from 1 species